CCCCGGCUCCCCCCACUUCCUCUCCAGCGCGCGCGCGUCCCUUCGGAAGAACCGCUCCCCCGAGGACCAAGAGGCUCAAGGGGAGGCGGAGGAGGGGGCUGGAGCCGGGCCGGGGGCGAGAGCCGGGAGGGCAGGGCGCGGGGCUGCCCGGGCCUCGGCCUUCCCGCCCCCGGGCGCCUCGGGACCGCCGCCUGCCCCGGCCGGGAGCUUUGUUCUUUCUCCCCAACUACCUGUCUGAGCAGCGGGCCGGAGGGGGCCGAAGGAAAGGGCCCCCGCUCCGGGAGGGGCUCCCCAUCAGCAUCCGAGGGGCGCGCUCGGGGAGAAUGGGGUAGCGCCGCGCCUCCCUGUCUGCCUCCCUCCCUGCCUUUCCUCUUCUGUCUUCUCUUUUGUUGCCUCUACUCUUGGACACGACACAGCCUUUGCUGUACCCCCUCCCACUUGGGAGUUUGCAGUGUGGACGCACAGCGAACACAACUGGCCUGCGAAGGGUUGCAGUUAUGACAGUGCCGAUGACAGCUUCCAUCUGUGUGGUGCCCUGGCAUUCGGGAACCUUCCAUCAUCUGACUGGCCUGUGGCAUCAGGGAGGGGAGGGGGCAGUGGCCUGUGCAAGGCAGCCAUGACGGGGACGGUCAGGAGGAGAGGCCCUGCCCAUCUGCCUUUCCAGACUUGAGAACCACUAAAUCGAAUUCAUGGCCUGCGUGUGCUGUGGAAAAGUGCUUUGGCAGAAACAACCACAGCCGCAGAGGAGUUAAAAGCCAGCCCCCACCUCUAGGCAACGUGACAAAGGCCCAGGCAGCUAUGCCAUGCGGCCCAGGCCAGGAUGGAGACAAGCGGGAUGGUCCUUGUGCUGUAUCUUCUGCCAGAGAUAACCACUCGCCUUUUCACUGGAUGGCACAAAACACAAGGACCCACAAGUUGUUUUCAAAAUGCUCCAUCCCUGGCCACUGAACUCUGGCUCUAGUGUGCCGCCCAAUGGGAACAAAGCAGAGAACAUGCCCUUUUGCUGACCCUGAACUGCCUCAGAUCCUCGCUACCCUGCUUGGAACAAUCACAAAGCCCAUACUCUGAACAGUCAAAGAUUCUCCUUGAGAACCGAUUCUGGUGCCAGGAAAUCUGAUACAAAGGAGAAAUCUGCAGGUCCUGUAUUUCUUGAGCAUCAUUAUCCUAAUUAAGCACCACACUGUGGAGUGCCAAGACUAUAAAUGGCAUCACGUUGGCUCCUCUCACCUCUUCAUCUGUGGCCAUGAUGAGCUGCUGUUUUGUCUGCUGAGGUCUGGCGGCCCUGGAUAUUGGCGCCUGCCGGCCCAGGCCCUUUCUCAUGCUCAUCCUCAUUGAGCGUCUUUGCAUUUUCAUCUCCCCAGAGCACCAGCUUCAGCACAUGCCUUUCAGCCUCGGGACCUAAGAGCUGACACUGCCUCCUGACCAACUCACAGGCCAGUGCUUGGCCUCAGGCCUGGCCCACCCUCCUCCAGGACACCUUCCUCCAGCCAAGUUGGCAGCUGCUGGGGGGGGUGAGACAUCAGCUCAGGACUGGCCUGACUGUGUGGCUUAAGAGGUUCCUUAGUCUCUGGGUGCCUCCAUUUCCCCACCUAUAAAAUGGGCAAACUAAGACUACGCACCUCACUAUCAUUACA